rnacentral:rRNA from 1 species
UGCAGUCGAGCGAGAAGGCCUUCGGGCUGAGUACAGCGGCGGACGGGUGAGUAACGCGUAGGAAUCUACCUGGUAGUGGGGGACAACAUGGUGAAAACCAUGCUAAUACCGCAUACGCCCUACGGGGGAAAGCGGGGGACCUUCGGGCCUCGUGCUAUCGGAUGAGCCUGCGUUGGAUUAGCUUGUUGGUGAGGUAAAAGCUCACCAAGGCGACGAUCCAUAGCUGGUCUGAGAGGAUGAUCAGCCACACUGGAACUGAGACACGGUCCAGACUCCUACGGGAGGCAGCAGUGGGGAAUAUUGCGCAAUGGGCGAAAGCCUGACGCAGCCAUGCCGCGUGUGUGAAGAAGGCCUUAGGGUUGUAAAGCACUUUCAAUUGGGAAGAAAGGUUGUACGUUAAUAGCGUGCAACUGUGACAUUACCUUUAGAAGAAGCACCGGCUAACUCCGUGCCAGCAGCCGCGGUAAUACG